ACAGCCUUAUUAGCAUAAUCGGAACCUUUCUGGUUUUUAUAUUCACGAAAGAAUGAAAAAACCCGAGAAAGUCAAAACUUCGUAUAUCUCGGGAUUUUAACGAGACCAGUCUCAUACUCGUGAAAAUCGAGAGAGGAGUCUAAAUGGAAAAAGUAAGUAAAAGUUUUUGUUUCUUAUAUUGGCAAGCUUUUAAAUUAUUUAAAGUUGCAGAACAAUUGUUUAUUAAUGUGAAGUCGAAGUUUGGGGUGAAUAGCCUUAUCUCUUUAAAUUUUGCUCAGCAUGAAACAGUCUGAACAGCAAUCCUCGAUUUUGUCAAUACUCUAAAUAGUGCUAAGGAGUAGUCAUUCGUCGGUAAGAACAUACUUACUUACAUUGUUAAACUACUCAAAAACUCUUUUAAAAGCCUACAAUGCAUUAAGUCUAGUACAAGUGUUACAAAAAUGUCGAUAAUUAAUGGUCGUUGUGAAAUGUGACUUGAAAGACAUGUUUUAGUAUGAAAUGUGUAUGCAGGUGUAUUAUAGUCAGUUUUUACACAUAUUGUUACGUAGCAUACGUUAAAAAAAUAUUGUAUGUUUUUCCUAGAAUAUUGAGUUUGUGUCAAUCAUGCUUUCAGUCAUUUCCAUACAGAAUUUCCUCGACACGUACAAUGUACACUGUACAUGUGGUUUUGAUAUCUGUAUCUCAUUCAAACUGUUAACUUUAUGUCUUAUUUAUCUUAUUAACGAUGAGAGUGUUUAUGAAUCAAGGUUCUGCAUUUGUUAUGUAAAUAAAACAUUAUACUAUUGAGAGUAUGAGAUAGAGAUAGACUCAGAGAGAGAGAGAGAGAGAGAGAGAGAGAGAGAGAGAGAGAGAGAGAGAAGCCAUAACAAGUUUUAUAGUUAUAUGUCAUUUCGCACUUAAUGAGUUGUUAUAGCUGUUAUCAUGGUAUUGUUUUGACCAUGUCUCAGAUACUGCAUGUGCCCAUAAAAAAAGUGUAAUCUAGGACACACCCUUUUGUUUGAUAAUGACAGCAUUUAGCUUUGUAAUGAUAGCUAGUGUAUCUUUUUUUCUUCUAAUCUACAGGUUUACCUGCGGCUUCCAGAUGAUCUGAAAGAUCGGGAAUAUAGAAAAUAUUGUCAAUUUGAUAUUGCUAAUGACCCAGUCAAGUCUGCUGAAGCCCAGAAGUUUCCAGACCAUGACAUUAAUGAAUAUUCCUUGAAUGGAAUGCAUGAGGAUUAGAAUGGAACCUUAUUCUGCCUUUUUACCAACUCACACCAUCUUUUCAAGAUUUAUGGAGCCAACCACAGAAGAAUUUGUUCUAUACACAUUAUUCAUAACAUUCUUAUUCAUGUUGCAUAACUUUAAAUGUUACUGGAUGAAUUGUGUUCACAUAAUGAAUACCAGUUAACUUUUUAUCGAGUGCACUUAAUUCGUAUUUUUCCUACCCAUCCAUCUAACAUAUGUUUUUAUAUUACAUAUUCAUAUACGUGUUACAUAACAUUUUUGGAAACAGCUAUUUUUUUUAAAUUGGAAUUUAGCCUUACUAUUUUAUACAAGUUUUUUUAAAGGGACUUGGACACGAUUUUAGAUCAAAAUUUUGUUUUCAAUUUCUUUAUGCAUAAAAUGAUUUACUUGCACAUUUUGAAUAAUUGACCAUAAUUUGAAUGUUAGAAGUCAAGUUAUAAGAUAGAUACAGGGGUAAGAAUUUAUUGUUAUGCAAACAAAGCUCGAGUCUUAUGUUUGUUUACAAAUAAUAUAAAGUAUGAAAUUACCAUACUGAUUCGAUGUGUUCAUAAAUGAUAUUAAUGAUAUUAUUAAUAGAAAAAAGCAACAUUUGAAUGAAACACCAAUAAAACACAUAUGUAAAUAAUAACAAGACUCGCGCUUUGUUUACAAAACAAAGAAUAUUUAAUUCUUUAUCUUUCUUUUAACUCAGUAUUUGACUUUCAAAAUUAGUAUUAUGAUUUUUUUAGAAUGAUAUAUGCAAUUUCAUUAAUUUAUUUUUCAUUUUAAGAAAAUUCAUUUUAAAAAAGAUCUCUUACAACCUGUGUAUUUUUUUUUCAGUUUACAUAACACAGUGUAUUAAUUGAAUGUAGUUGUGUAGAUUUAUACAUGUACCUACAAGCAAUAUACAUUUAAUAUUCACCAGGUACAUGUACCAGCCUACUAUAUUUGAUAAA